GGCGCGUUUUCAAAAACAACAAUUGAUUUCAAAAUAACACGACAACAAGCAAAGCUUUCGCAAUGAAAGUAUUUUCCAAAAUUAAUCACUUUUCCUAAAAAUGACUUAAUCAAAUCGGUUUCCUAGAAAUAUCCAUGACGUUAAGGUGUGGCAAUGGUGGUAUGCAUGUCUAGGAUUGGAUCCGAAGGGAGCUUGGUACUUAAGCAGUCUGAUGGACUCACCACCUCUUUUCCGGUUUCCUACCUGGUGCACAGCUUCCAUUCACUUUAACCCUUAAUGAAUUAAUCUUUUGAACAUCAAGUACGAUUUUCUGGACUUAGAAUGGAAAUUUUUUUUUAACAUUUUUGAUGUGGCAUGUCGGAUCCGGCCAUAACUUCUGGGUCGGGUUUGGGGUGCUACACUCGCCAUUCUUGAAGCUCUUUGUUGAUAGUUUUGCUCUGAACUGUGUAAUAACACCGAAAGCAUUAAGUCAAACACUACAAUCUGUUGUUAAAUUUUGAAAAAUAUAAAGGAGAAGUAAAAGUGUUUAUGAGCAAAACUAUCAACAAAGUGCUUUCGGUGUAUGCAACUUAUCUGUUGUUAUAUUUUUUUACUCAAUUCAGGAGCAAAAAUGUAAAAAGUGUUUAUGAGCAGAAGAAUGCUUACAUUUAAGGCAAUGAUGAAUUGAUACAGACACUGUGCUUUUGAAUUUAUCUGUCAAAUGGAAAGCAGGAAACAUUAAACAGAGGAUACAAACACUGCUUAAGGUGAUAUAUAUAUAUGAUACAGAAGAUUCAUAAUCAUGAGCAACAGAACUGCAUCACCAACAUACAAGCACCACUUUUGGUUUCAUGUACCAGAUAAUUUUAUGCCACAGAAGUGCAGAUGACAGUCGAUUGAUGAGACAAACUGUUUGCAGGCAAUCGCAUGAAAUAUAAUAAAAUUAGCAUCCAAGAGGUAACAAUUCUAGGUUCACAAUACCAUAGAACAAAGAUGCAAUCGUUACACAAUCAAAGAUAGGUCAAUAAGAAACUAAAAAUAAGCUUAAAAUGUUGUAUGAAGGCUUUAGAUUGACAUCACAUAGAAUGACAAAAAGAUUAAAGCAUAUUAGAAUAAAGCAAGCAGCAAAUAGCGUCCAGAGUAAUACAAUAACAGUACAAGUGCUUGGAUUGCAUAUUACAUAUUUUAAAAAAAAGAAACUUUAAAUAAAAUGAAAAGUCAUAGACAGACAUAGAAAUGAUUUACCGAAGUACUGAACAAUCAAACCGAGAACUUAUUUAAAUAAUUAAUAACAACUAUGGCGCUUGAUCAAAGGGCUUCCUUAAUGUUAACAGCAGGAUUCGCAGGAAUGUUAACAUACCCUAUUUUUUUAGGGCUAAAUUCUUCGUCAGACUCAUCAUCCUCAUGGUACUCGCAACGGGCCGUGAAGAUAAUCCAGACCAAGUAAAUGGCGGCGGCAGUGAGAGAGCCGCGAAGAGAUAUAUUAUGUAACGAAACUGAUAGCAGAAAGAGAAAUUUCAGGUGACUUUUUCUUUUUCAAUAUACUUGACAGUAGAUGUCGACAGAGAUACAGCAGCGGGCUACCGACGGAGAUGCAGAGGGCUGCCGAUUUGGGGAAAUUAGGGGAAAAGAUAAAGGGAAUCGGGGUAGGGGAGAAAUGGUUUGGGAAAAAUAAAAUGAGAAAGAAAAGAGAAGAAAUUUGAGUGAAAUUUUAGGAUUUCUUUGGGGAGGGGGGAGGGAACCGAUUUUGGGGAAAGAAAGGAGGGAAGAAAGAAAGAUUUCUUGUCAAAUUUUUGGAUUUCGG
rnacentral:lncRNA from 1 species